rnacentral:rRNA from 1 species
ACCUUUAACCACCGAUCUCUGCUCUCGCAUCGAUGAAGAACGCAGCGAAAUGCGAUAGGUAAUGUGAAUUGCAGAAUCCAGUGAUUCAUCGAAUCUUUGACGCACUUGGCGCUCCUUGGUAUUCCGGGAGGCAUGCCUGUUUGAGUGUCAUUA